GAACGCUAGCGGCAGCUUAACACAUGCAAGUCGAGGGCAGCGCGUUGUAGCAAUACGAUGGCGGCGACCGGCGGAUGGGUGCGUAACGCGUGAGCAACCUGGCCGUGGCAGGGGGAUAACCGGUGGAAACACCGCCUAAUACCCCGUAACAACCCAUCUCGCAUGGGAUGGGUUUGAAAGGAGGCAACUCUGGCCACGGAUGGGCUCGCGUCCAAUUAGGUAGACGGCGGGGCAACGGCCCACCGUGCCGACGAUUGGUAGGGGUUCUGAGAGGAAGGUCCCCCACAUUGGAACUGAGAACGGUCCAAACUCCUACGGGAGGCAGCAGUGAGGAAUAUUGGUCAAUGGGCGGAAGCCUGAACCAGCCAUGCCGCGUGCAGGUUAAGGUCCUAUGGAUUGUAAACUGCUUUUGUCGCAGGGCAAUAAGGUUCACGUGUGGACUGAUGAGAGUAUGCGACGAAUAAGCAUCGGCUAACUCCGUGCCAGCAGCCGCGGUAAUACGGAGGAUGCGAGCGUUAUCCGGAUUCAUUGGGUUUAAAGGGUGCGUAGGCGGCAGGCCAAGCCGGGGGUGAAAAGGUCGAGCUCAACUCGAUUCGUGCCUUCGGAACUGGUCAGCUAGAGUGCGCUUGCCGUGGGAGGAAUGAGUGGUGUAGCGGUGAAAUGCAUAGAUAUCACUCAGAACACCGAUUGCGAAGGCAUCUCACGAAGACGUUACUGACGCUGAGGCACGAAAGCGUGGGGAUCGAACAGGAUUAGAUACCCUGGUAGUCCACGCAGUAAACGAUGAUGGCUAACCGUCGGCGA
rnacentral:rRNA from 1 species